CCCAGCUCUGCCGCCCAGCCCCUGGUCCUGGGUCCCACAGCGUCCAUGCAGUCCGCAGUGAGCUCUGUGCUGUCCACCUUCGUGAGCGAGCUCCCCGGCUGGCUCCUGUUCUCGGGGGGCUUCCUGCCCGUGGCUUUGCUGCUUUUCCUCCUGAUCGCCUGCUUCAGGGCCCACCUGAUGGAGGGCCCAUUCUUCAGAGGUGACUGAGCUGGAAGAUCCUAUAACAGUUCUUGCCCUGAAGACUAGGGCUUCUGUAACUCACCGGGGCCAGGAGAGCCACAAACAGUGGCCAGCUGCCAUUAUGAGCUGUCGAGGACCAAUGGCACUCGGCUGUGUCCAAAUUAUUAAUUGGUAUUUCUUCUUUCAGUAAAUGAAGAACUGUCUCAGAUUCCUGAUGGCCGAUCCAUGUGCAAGGACUGCUCUUCCCAGUCCUGGCAAAUGAAACAGAGGUGACUGUUGGGACUGAUCAAUGGCUAAAGCCCAAUGAACUUCUAAUCAGACCAAUGGCCCACAGUUAAAGCAGAACGCGGCAGCAAGAGAAGAAUACUAAUAUGGCAGUUCUGAGCCACACUGAAAAGUAUCAGAUAGUCUUUAUCCAAGAGGACUUCUCUGAGAACCAGCUUUAACGACAGCUCUUCAGGAAGUGCCAAGAACAUGAGACUUUCUUGGAUAUGCUCAAUGGACUGAACACGUUUUACUGUUCUUAUAACCAUGUUUACUUUGAAAGGCAUACUUUAAAAAUGAAAUUCUUGAGCAUCAUUACUACCUAAUCCCAUGGAAACCCACAUUACUCUGAUGCUAGUGAGGAAACUGGUGGAGAUCAAGCCAACAGCAAAAGAUGAGUGCCUUGAGACCUCCGUGGAUGACCCAGGCAAGAGGCCUCCUGCUCACUCCUCUGACAGUUGAGCAUUGCUUACACGACACCAGUUCAAGGCAGCAUUUCUGGACCUGCGUUUGCAUCUUAUUUCCUCAUUGUGUUCACAAAUCAUUACUGUGACAAAAAACAAGCAGAGUCUCCCAGUAUGAGGUAUGGACCACUCACCAAUGUAGACCUCAGCAUGUGACUUGGAAAUACUGACAAUUUGGGGCUGGGAAAAGGAAAGGAGAACAGGAUGUUCACAUAAUUGCUUAAGAAGACUAAUGCAAGACUUUGCCUAUAAAACCAAAGGGAAGCUAUACCUAAAUAUGGAAAGAAGUCAGGAGAAUUCUUUCAGUGGGAGUCCUACCUAAAGAGCCAACAUAGACAACUGAAAAGAAAUACUUAAUUCAAGGUGGUAGUUAAAACAAUGGUUAUUAUUGUGUUCUCUCCAUUUUUCUUGUUAACAGGAAUGAAAGAUUUUUAAUACUACCUAGAUCUGGUUAUAUUUCAGUUUUCUCACAUGACUCUACUAAGGUAUUAGUGAUGUGCUUUAUGAAAUGUAUCUGAUCACCUGUAAUAAAUGCACCAGUUUUGGUAGUGAUGCAGUCAUGCAAGAUUGUGUAGAUGACAAAAAGCAAAAAUGCAUUACAAGUGCCAGUAUUUAUUGUUUCUUCCCUUCAGCCCCACCCUGAAAUUCUUCAUGUCUUGUGAGCAAUCUGUUUGCACUUCAUGUAAUGUAAUUCAUUGUCCAAUUGAAGGCACUUCUCCAUGUUAUAGUGUUCAAUUACAAUGCAAAUGUCUGCUGGGACUUUCAGGCGGGGGUAAUUUAACAGUGUUCAUGCCAUAUGGAAGGAAUAACACUAUUCAGUUUGGGGAGUGAUCUCUUUUUAGCCCUGGGUGGAAUCAAGCUUGUGUAAAAGUGCUUUACCAGAAGGUGUGAAAGGAUGCUUCACAUUCCCACCACAGGCAACUGCCAGGCAAAUCUGGGGCUCAGUCACCAGGGUUUGCGCCAUCUUCCUUCAGAAAUAGGCGCUUUGGAAGCCCUUGUUCUGACUCUGGUGGCUGCCUGCCCACCUUCUCAGCUACACUGUUAACAGAUGAGCCCUAAUCAUGUAUGUUCUCCGCAGCAAGCAUAACCAAGCAGUUUAAAGCAAGACCUGUCUCUUUUGUUGCCACUGAAUAAGGUGGAAAUAAAGAAUACCCAAUGAGAUGACCAGA